GCAGUGGUUGAUCACGAGUUAGUCGGUCCUAAGUUCAAGGCGAAACCCGAAAAUUUUCAAGUAAAGAAAAAUCUAAAUAUAUUUGUCAUCUAACCGAUUUUUAUACACUUGAAUAAUUUUGAACGAAAGGGAAUACGGUUCCAAUUCCGUAACCUGUUGAGUAUCCGUUUGUUAUUAAAUAUGGGCCUCGUGCUCAUCCUGGCAACAGGAACGACCAUAAAGAAGCCGUCGAGAGGUAUCGGAAGAGUUUUCUUUUCUGUUUUAUAGCUGUACUACCAUGGAAGUCUUUCGCAGAGAGAUAUGGUAGAUGGGCUAGAAGAGCAUGACUGUUGUGUCGAUAUUUUCUCCUCGGACCUUGAAAAUUUAUGGUGGGGACACGUAAACUUCUCAACAGGCCGUACCAAUAUCCGCAGCUGGUCUCCAAGGUGCAGAGUCUCUAGUCGAUAGAAUAAUGUAGGUAAGGGAAGUCGGCAAAUUAGAUCCGUAACUUCGGGAUAAGGAUUGGCUCUGAAGAUUGAGAUAGUCGGGCUUGAUUGGGAAACAAUAACAUGGUUUAUGUGCUCGUUCUGGGUAAAUAAAGUUUCUAUCAUUUAUGGUAGUUUCUUGUUCCCCGGAUAGUUUAGAUACGUAGCCAAUUGUGGAACUUUCUUGCUAAAAUUUUUAAGAAUACUAGUUGGGCGGUGAUUGACGCUUGAACUAAUCCUAUACCAGGAACAGUGAGAUUAAGCCAUCGCGGCAGGUGCUCACGUUAAGCCCACUGACUUUCAUGUCCCUAUCUACUCAGUUCGUUUCAGACAGUCGUUGGGAACAGACGUGUUUAU
rnacentral:ncRNA from 1 species